rnacentral:rRNA from 1 species
UACGUAGGUGGCAAGCGUUGUCCGGAUUUACUGGGCGUAAAGAGCGCGCAGGCGGUCGGAUAAGUCGAAUGUGAAAGCCCCCGGCUUAACUGGGGAGGGUCAUUCGAUACUGUUUGACUGGAAGGCAGGAGAGGGAAGCGGAAUUCCCGGUGUAGUGGUGAAAUGCGUAGAUAUCGGGAGGAACACCAGUGGCGAAGGCGGCAUCCUGGCCCUGUCCUGACGCUCAGGGGCGAAAGCGUGGGGAGCAAACCGG